AUUAGAUAUUCUUUGUGGUAGGGGCCAUCUUUUUGGACGGCUUGAAUUUACGCAGCACUUGCAUGCGAAUCGCCUAUAUAAUUACGCGUGUUCAGCACCGACUAUCCAACAACAGCUACUCGCAUUAGGAGCCGUUGGAUUAAAAUGGACGGUCCACGUUAACAACCCGGAGAUUUAAAGCUUCGAUUCCGAAGCGUAGGUUUUCAAUCCAGCUCCAGUCGGCAGCUUCUCUUUUCCUGGAGGAAGAGAGGUUGCCUCUCCUCGUCCCUCAAGACCCUCCAUUUUCAGGUCAGUUGCCAGCAAUCCGGUCCGUUCAUCUCCUGGGCCCUACUGCGGCUGGACCAUGCCCCAAAAAUCUGGGAUAUUAGACGUUCCCAGUAGCUGGAUCCAUAGCGUCCAAGAUUGGCGGCUACGAUCAUCCGAAUCGCAGCGAUUUUUGGGGCAUGGUCCAUCCGUGGUGGGGAUCCCUAGGACUCCCUCAAAAGGCAUACAGAUCGGAAGAUGCCAAGGAGCUGUUAGGGUUUUGAUUUUUUAACUACGACGUGAUGGUCCACUCAACGGCCCAUUGUCACGAGUGAUUACAUUAUGAUGUUAGAAAUGACAAUGGUAGAGCACUUGAACGGGGUGUUUGGAUUGGAAGUUACUUUAGAUAAGCGGCAUAAGUAGCUUAUCUUGGUUUUUUACUUAUUAAGUAAAUAAGCUUGCUUGGUAAACAACGUACUUGUCAGCUAAAAAGUAAAAAAAGCAUGUUUUGUUUCCAACAUCACUCAAGUAUUUAUCUCUCGUUUUUGUUUGAUCCACCCUCAUAUUUACCGUGGAUCAGGUGGGGCCAACCUUUGAUGUGGGUUGUUCAUUGUGGGGCCGUGGGCCUCACCUUUGAUGUGGGCCCUACAUCAUGUAGGCCCACCUUGGACGUGUGCAUUAGGUGGGGCCAACCUUUGAUGUGGGUUGUUCAUUGUGGGGCCGUGGGCCUCUUUGAUGUGGGCCCUACAUCAUGUAGGUCCACCUUGGACGUGAGCCAUUCAUCAUGAGGGUCCGACCUUUAAUUUGCACCAUCCAUUAUGUAGGCGCCCCAUAGAUGUUGGUUAUCCAUGGUGGUCACCAUCAAUGUUAGUCCAUCGUGUGGGAUUCACCUUCAAUAUCCACUGCCCAUCCCGUCAACCAUCCAUCAUCUGAGCCCCACCUCUGAUGUUGGCUGCCCCCACUUGGAUGUGGGCCACUCAUCAUUAGGGCCGACCUUUGAUGUGGACCGUCCAUCAUGUGGGGCCCACCUUGACAUGGACCGUCCAUCCUAUGAAGCCCAACUUUGAUGUUGACUGUCUGUCAUGUGGGCCCCACCUUCACUGUGGACUGUCCAUUAUGUGGGGCUCGCCUUGGAUGUAGGCCAUUCAUCAUUAAGUACCAACCUUCGAUGUGGGCCGUCCAUCAGUUGGGCCCACCUCAAUGUGUGCCAUCCAUCAUGUGGGGCCCCACUUCAAUGUCCACUGCCCAUCAUGCGGAGCCCACCUUUGAUGUGGACUGUCCAUCAUGUAAGCCCCACAUUUGAAUUGGGUUGUUCAUCAUAUUCGCCUGUUAAUAUGGGGUCAUCUGUCAUGUGGGGCCCACAUUAACACGGUGUCAUCCAUCAUGUGGGGCCCACCUUUGAUGGGGACAGUCCAUCAUGUAGGGCCUUCUUCGAUAAGGACAGUGAGAGAGAGCCUCCUUUGACAUGGACUGGGAAUGAGAGAAAAAUAGAAAAGUAACAAGUCAACAGGUUUUUAAAAAAUUAUUGAAAUAAGUAGCUUUUAGCUUAUUUGGUGGUAUCCAAACAGGCCCAAAAGAUCAGGGAAGUUCUGCCUCAUCCUUAAUUUUUGCAGUGGUGCUGCUUGUCUGGGAGAGGUAAUUGAAUCAUGGGCUUCAGCUGUUGGGGCAACAUAGUUAUUUUAAACCCCUUUGCAAAUCUAAGAUUUCCAUCUGGUUUGAAUCACUGUUCUGGCUUUCUUUCCAGAAAAUCUGGCCAUUUCCCUCCUCAGGUGGGCCAUGGUUAAAACAAACCGUUAUGAAAGUCCAUCUGCUUUGUAUGCUGUUGCCCACUUGUGGUGUAAAAUGGUCUGUUUUUUGGAUAGAUCUAAACAGUGUAGCCCACAUGAUGGAAAGCUUGCAUUUUUCCUAGUGAUUUCAAAUUCUCGCUGCUGCAUGUAGGGUGCUCAUGUGUGUGUAGGGUCACAAAAUCUGGACUCCAACCUUGUCUUGAGGUUUGUUAGUGCCUAGAAUACAUGCUGACUGCUUGCAACAGGUUACGUCUGGACUUCUGCUGUUGGAAUGGUGUCCCUUUUAGUGUCCUAAACUGUUUAUAUGUCAUGCUUCCCUGUGGAUGAGGUAUGCCCAGAAAACCUCUUGGAUUGAAAUAUUUCAGUACUUUCAUUAUUCGAUUUUUAAUGAGGCCACCCGUAUUCAUACCAAAGGAGUGUGUCUGAUGGUAUUUUUUCCAGCUAUUCCCAUCCAAGGUGAGCUCAAUCAUAUAGAUGGUUUGGAUCAUGGAAAGAUGACACGGCCAGAUCGUAAGGGCGAAAGUCCAGAUGUAUCUGAUGGGAGCUUAUUGGGCUGUCUCAAGGCAACAUGUACUUGAUUUGCAUGGGGGAUGUACAUUUAUUUGAACCAGCUAUUCCCAUCUAAGGUGAGGUCAAUCAUAUAGAUGGUUUGGAUCAUGGAAACAUGAUCCCAGAUCCUAAGGGUGAAAGGCCAGAUGUAUCUGAUGGGAGCUUAUGGGGCUGUCUCAAGGCAACAUUUACUUGAUGUGCAUGGGGGAUGUACAUUUACUUGAUGUGCAUUGGGAAGUGGAAUCGGUCAAUCGCUUUUUCAUACAUUGCCCUUUUUUU